rnacentral:rRNA from 1 species
CCGGCAGCCGCGGUAAUUCCAGCUCCAAUAGCGUAUAUUAAAGUUGUUGCAGUUAAAAAGCUCGUAGUUGAAUUUCGGGGUCAGUAGGUUGGUCAUGCCUCUGGUAUGUACCGAUCUCACUGAUUCCUCCUUCCUGAUGAACCGUAAUGCCAUUAAUUUGGUGUUGCGGGGAAUUUGGACUGUUACUUUGAAAAAAUUAGAGUGUUUAAAGCAAGCUAACGCUUGAAUACAUUAGCAUGGAAUAAUGAUGUAGGACGUUCGAUCCUAUUUUGUUGGUUUCUAGGAUUGACGUAAUGAUUAAUAGGGAUAGUUGGGGGCAUUAGUAUUCAAUUGUCAGAGGUGAAAUUCUUGGAUUUAUUGAAGACUAGCUACUGCGAAAGCAUUUGCCAAGGAUGUUUUCAUUAAUCAAGAACGAAAGUUAGGGGAUCGAAGACGAUCAGAUACCGUCGUAGUCUUAACCAUAAACUAUGCCGACUAGGGAUCGGAUGAUGUUAAUUUUUUAAUGACUCA